rnacentral:rRNA from 1 species
GAUGAACGCUGGCGGCGUGCCUAAUACAUGCAAGUCGAGCGAACAGACGAGGAGCUUGCUCCUCUGACGUUAGCGGCGGACGGGUGAGUAACACGUGGAUAACCUACCUAUAAGACUGGGAUAACUUCGGGAAACCGGAGCUAAUACCGGAUAAUAUAUUGAACCGCAUGGUUCAAUAGUGAAGGACGGUUUUGCUGUCACUUAUAGAUGGAUCCGCGCCGCAUUAGCUAGUUGGUAAGGUAACGGCUUACCAAGGCAACGAUGCGUAGCCGACCUGAGAGGGUGAUCGGCCACACUGGAACUGAGACACGGUCCAGACUCCUACGGGAGGCAGCAGUAGGGAAUCUUCCGCAAUGGGCGAAAGCCUGACGGAGCAACGCCGCGUGAGUGAUGAAGGUCUUCGGAUCGUAAAACUCUGUUAUUAGGGAAGAACAAAUGUGUAAGUAACUAUGCACAUCUUGACGGUACCUAAUCAGAAAGCCACGGCUAACUACGUG